CGCUGGCGGCGUGCCUAAUACAUGCAAGUCGAGCGGAAUUUAUUGGUGCUUGCACCUUAAAUUUAGCGGCGGACGGGUGAGUAACACGUGGGUAACCUACCUUAUAGUUUGGGAUAACCUCCGGGAAACCGGGGCUAAUACCGAAUAAUACUUUUAAACACAUGUUUGUAAGUUGAAAGACGGUUUCGGCUGUCACUAUAAGAUGGACCCGCGGCGCAUUAGCUAGUUGGUGAGGUAACGGCUCACCAAGGCAACGAUGCGUAGCCGACCUGAGAGGGUGAUCGGCCACACUGGGACUGAGACACGGCCCAGACUCCUACGGGAGGCAGCAGUAGGGAAUCUUCCACAAUGGACGAAAGUCUGAUGGAGCAACGCCGCGUGAAGUGAAGAAGGAUUUCGGUUCGUAAAACUCUGUUGCAAGGGAAGAACAAGUAGCGUAGUAACUGGCGCUACCUUGACGGUACCUUGUUAGAAAGCCACGGCUAACUACGUGCCAGCAGCAGC
rnacentral:rRNA from 1 species